UGGCAUAAAAACUAAUACAAUUGCGACGGCAUCUUCAAUGCCGUAGUUAAAUUUGUCCCGAUUCUUGCUACGCUAUAGUUGCCGUAGCUUUUUUUAGUUUUCUUCCGGUGCAAUAUUAGUUGAGCUUGUUAUUUUUAUUUUUCAUUUUUAUUAAGGAAAUAAUGGUUCCCAUCGGUGUGCCGCUUACUCUCUAAACCCCUUCUCUCUCUCUCUCCUUUUCUCUUUUCUCCGGAUACGAUCGACGACUUCGAGAGGGGCGUAGAGCGGAGCCCUCUCUCUCCCGCCGCCCAAAAAUCUCUGCCGUUGAUUCAAUUCCGGUAUGUGAAAUUCAUGUAGUUGAUGAUUCGCUGGCCUUAGGGUUCGUGUCAUCUUAUCUCAGAUCUACUUGCAAAUGGCUCAGAUCUACCUCCAUCUUUACCUCCUUGGCGGCUCUCUCACAGACCAAAGGAAGCCAUGGCCGCCGUGCAUGUCGUAUCCUGCCCUCCCCGGCUUGGCAGUGAAUCGUUUGGUGGCACAUGAAUUAGAAUUAGGUCGAAUAUAUUCUCGCAUAGAUUCACAUGAAAAACCCAGUCCAGACUAUCUGCUGCAACAAUGGCUGUAGGGGAGCCCAGAGCACCAAAGUAAUAAAUUCACAUCUCCAUGUUUGGGCUUUUCCUCAGAAGGCUGCUGGUAUCCUUACUUUCCUGGCCAAGAACCCACCUUGCCUGGGGAUAUCGAUUUGUUGCUUCAGGUUUGUAGAGAAAACAACAACCAUGGGUCUAGAAGAAUGCUAUUCACAUCGAUAUCUGCUGGUAAAUAUCCUUACUUUCCUGGCCAAGAACCCACUUUGCUUGGGGAUAUCGAUUUGUUGCUUCAGACAAAAGCACAUUUCAUCAUUUUGAUAAGUUCAAUCUGAAGUACAACCACUGUGGUCAAAGUAGGCUCAGGGAGAUUUUCCUUAAGCAGGAUAAUCUUAUCCAAGGCUGUUUCCUUGCUGAGCUGACAAAGCAAGUGUUUUCUGAUCUUUCUGCCAGUAAAUAUCAGAUGGCUGAGCACAGAAUAUCAAAAUAUGGCAGGAAGCAAAGUGAGUGGGACCAAAUGGCUAGUUGGAUAGUGAACAAUGAAUUGUACAGUGAGAAUGUUGUAUGGUUGAUAUAGCUGCCACGGCUGUACAAUAUAUACCAGGAAAUGGGGAUAGUCACAUCAUUUCAGAACAUUCUUGACAAAAUCUUUAAACCGCUGUUUGAGGUUACCAUAAAUCCAGAUUCCCACCCGCAGUUGCAGGUUUUUCUGAAACAGGUGAUGAAGAUGGAGGUUGACUACAAAGUGGUAUUAAUCGGAUUUUCUGCAGACAUUGGAUACUUAUUAGGAGAUCAACACGAGCAUUGCAGGUCUGUCGAACAAGGAAAUGCAGAACCUUCAAAGGUAGCCGAACACGGGCAGCUUUUGUCUUUAUUAUUGGAUUUUGCUUGCUGGAUCUUGCCAAGUUAGAAGGAAGGGUUGAAAUUCAAGAAAUUCACUUGCUUCUUCGAUUCCUGCUGAAGGAAGGACUGCACCUACAUAUAUAUGUUAAUUAUGCUGAGAUAACCCAAUUCCUCCCAGAUUAGUUACUCAUCAUUCAUG